GGAGGGGUGAGCUUGGUGGUAGAGCACAUGCUUAGUAUACACAAGGUCCUGGGUUCAAUCCCCAAUCCCUCCA
rfam:Camelus ferus unplaced genomic scaffold scaffold14309, whole genome shotgun sequence.